rnacentral:lncRNA from 10 species
GCUCACUGCAUCCUCCACCUCCUGGGUUCAAGCAAUUCUCCUGCCUUAGCCUCCUGAGUAGCUGGGAUUACAGGCGCCCGCCACCAUGCCCAGCUAAUUUUUUUUUUUUUAGUAGAGAUGGAGUUUCACCACCUUGGCCAGGCUGGUCUUGAACUUCUGACCUCGUGAUCCACCUGCCUCGGCCUUUCAAAGUCCGUGAGCCACCACGCCUGGACUGUAAGCUGCUUCUCAAGACAUCCCAGCAAGCUGGAAUCAAACUUGACUUGUAGAGCCAGUAAAAGCCCUUUGGGGAACUGGGCUCAUACCUUGCCUACAACAGUCCCUGUACAUGGUUUCUUAUCUGUGGUAAGUAAAUAAUGUCACUUUCUGACAGGUCCAGAAGCCCCAAGUUAUCUUGGGACCCCAAGAGGAGAAGAAUUUACUCAACUCAUAGUUAUUGGAGGGUACAAACUGAUGGCUGAGCUUGGCUUUAAAAAGUCUUAUAUAAGAUUCCUUCUAUGGAACAGAAUUCCAUCAAAGCCAAUUUAAAAAGAGCCGAUGUGAAAAAUAAUUAUUCUUACUGCACUUUAUACAAAUAAUCAGGCCAAGUAUAAUAAAGAAAUUUGUCUUACCAUGAUUUGCCAUUAGUAAAAAUGGGAAACUGGAGAGAGGGAUAUUAUGUUUCAAAAACUACAGUAUACUUGUUAUUAGAUUCUAGUCUCAUUAGUUGUUUUUAAGUUUGUUUCUGCAAUUUAGGCUAACCCUGCUUAUUCCUGUGAACCAACCAGUGAUCUCUGACUGCUGCUCAGAAGAAACAAGAGGGAUAGGUAAUAUAAAAAUCUGGAUCAAUAUUCUUAUUCUGGGCACAUUGCAAUCAGCUAGCAACCCCAUAUCAUCUUGGUUUCAACAGUUGCCCAGUUCACAGAAAGCCUUCUAAUUUAGUUUACUUUGAAUAACUUUACUUAUUUUGUCUCACUGUUGUGAAAUGUAUUGCUGUUAUACUCUGUGUAGAAAUACAGGACAAGCUUACUGAAUGUUUCCUUAAACUAAACACUCCUUAAUGUUCCAGAUACCACCUUUUGUUGAAACUCAAGAGUUAUAAAGGGACCUUACCAUACUGAUACCUUCUUACUGAGCUCCUCUCUACCCUGAAUGCAAGAGACCCUCAUAGCUAGGCAGGAAUAUUAUCACCCCUAUUCAUCAUGAAGAAGUUACAGAAGAUGGCUCUUCAUCCCUCUGAAACCCUUAGGGCUAAUGGUUCUCUUAUAAAAGGGAGGGGGGAAAUAUCAGAGGUGUGUGAACCAGAGCAACUCCAUCUUGAAUAGGAGCUGGGUAAAAUGAGGCUGAAACCUACUGGGCUGUAUUCCCAGAUGGUUAAGGCAUUCUAAGUCACAGGAUGAGAUAGGAGGUCACCACAAAAUACGGGUCAUACAUACCUUGCUGGUAAAACAGAUUGCAGUAAAGGAGCCAGCCAUAAUUCACCAAAACCAAAAUAGCGACAAGAGUGACCUCUGGUCCUCACUGCUACACUCCCACCAGUGCCAUGACAGUUUACAAAUGCCAUGGCAACAUCAGGAAGUUACCCUAUAUGGUCUAAAAAGGGGAGGCAUGAAUAAUCCACCCCUUGUUUAGCAUAUCAUCAAGAAAUAACCAUAAAAAUGGACAACCAGCAGCCCUCAGGGCUGCUCUAUGGAGUAGCCAUUCUUUUAUUCCUUUACCUUUUUAAUAAACUUGCUUUCACUUUGCAUUGCAGACUCUCCCUUAAUCCUUUCUUGCGCAAGAUCCAAGAACCCUGUUUCAGGAUCUGGAUCAGGACACCUUUCCUGUAACAGUUUUAAGCUCAUGGUUUAUUAUAUUAAUCUCUCUCAAUUUGUUCAUCAGGAUAGAAUAUUUGGAGAGGUGAAACUUCUGUACUUCCUCAGAGCACCCCUAGUCUUCCUGAAUUGCAUUUUCCUGCCUUUUCUUUCAUUUCAGCCUAAGAGAAUCCCUUUUAAGGUGUCCUGAUCCUUUACAGUAGUAACAGACUGGGAGGGAAAGAGUUCUCAGACCAAGGGAGCUUAAAAUCUUUCUACAGCUGACAGGUUUGAGAACUUAAUUGCUUUAGCUGUAAGUGGGCACUCUUCUGCUUUUCUUUUUUUAUCAUAGUGUAGGAUAAUUGGUCAGCUAAGUUAACUAGUUUACUAGUUCUUACUGUGGCCCAGUUUGUUAUGUGGCAUUUUACAAGGCUGGCUAAAUCAUCAUCUACUCCAUUUAAGAAAUUCACAUUUAAUAAUGUAUCAUUUUAUUGUUUUCAAAGCAAUCAGCUCACAUCCCACAAUAUUGUCUUAAAAGUUUUAUCAAAAUGUGUGAAAUAAUCUAAAACUGAUUUAUUUGGGUUCUGGUGGCAUUGUUGGAUUUUUUUCCAAUCCACAACCCUUUGGAACACUGAAGGAAUAACAUUUAACAGAGCAAUCGCUCAUUCCCAUGCAUCUUUACACCUGUCUUCUGGAUUUUGGGGGCUGGUUGUUGUGGCUCUAUUGGACCUUCAGGGGCUAAAUCAGCUAUAGGGUCUGACCAUUGUGCUUUUUUCCAGCCAUUCGUUAUCUUUAGCUUCUGAGACCAACAUGUGAACUAGCAGAUAAAGGUCUGAAUGACCUGGGUCAUAGGUUCUGAUAAUGAGCUCAAAUUCUUGGGUACACCUGAUUGGAACUUUAUGGGAGUCAGGACUUUUUUUUUUU